UGGGCGCAGCCUGAUCCAGCCAUGCCGCGUGGGUGAAGAAGGCCUUAGGGUUGUAAACCCCUUUCAGCGGGGAAGAUAAUGACGGUACCCGCAGAAGAAGUCCCGGCUAACUCCGUGCCAGCAGCCGCGGUAAU
rnacentral:rRNA from 1 species